UUCAACGGCCGCGGUAUCCUAACNGUGCAAAGGUAGCGUAANCACUUGUCCUUUAAAUAAGGACUAGUAUGAACGGCUAAAUGAGGAUAAAUCUGUCUCCUUUAACAAAUCAGUGAAACUGAUCUACCAGUACAAAAGCUGGUAUAACCAUAUAAGACGAGAAGACCCUGUGGAGCUUUAAAUCUAAGCCAAUCAACUAAAUCACAACUAGACUAUGGCAAAAAUUUUAAGUUGGGGCGACUUCGGAAAAAAACUAAACUUCCGAGCAUAAGACCACAAUCUUUACCAAGACCAACAAGUCAAGGCCAAUAUUGAUCCAGUACAACUGACCACCGAACCAAGUUACCCCAGGGAUAACAGCGCAAUCUUUUUCAAGAGUUCAUAUCGACAAGAAGGUUUACGACCUCGAUGUUGGAUCAGGACACCCAAAUGGUGCAGCCGCUAUUAA
rnacentral:rRNA from 1 species